UACUUGUCUCACAACCAUGAGGGCCUG
rnacentral:piRNA from 1 species